rnacentral:rRNA from 1 species
UACGGGGGGGGUAAGCGUUGUUCGGAAUUACUGGGCGUAAAGGGCUCGUAGGCGGCCAACUAAGUCAGACGUGAAAUCCCUCAGCUUAACUGGGGAACUGCGUCUGAUACUGGAUGGCUUGGAUCCGGGAGAGGGAUGCGGAAUUCCAGGUGUAGCGGUGAAAUGCGUAGAUAUCUGGAGGAACACCGGUGGCGAAGGCGGCAUCCUGGACCGGUAUUGACGCUGAGGAGCGAAAGCGUGGGGAGCAAACCGG